ensembl:rRNA 5S_rRNA 5S ribosomal RNA
AUCUUUGGUCAUUCCACCCUGAAUGUGCCUGAUUGCACCUGAUCUUGGAAGCUAAGCAGGGUUGGGCCUGGUUAGUACUGGGACGGGAGACCGGGUUGGAAUACCAGGUGCUGUAGGGU